rnacentral:rRNA from 1 species
ACUCAAAGGAAUUGACGGGGGCCUGCACAAGCGGUGGAGUAUGUGGCUUAAUUCGAUGCAACGCGAAGAACCUUACCUGGCCUUGACAUGCACGUAGUAGAAGCCUGAAAGGGUAACGAACCCGCAAGGGAAGCGUGCACAGGUGCUGCAUGGCUGUCGUCAGCUCGUGUCGUGAGAUGUUGGGUUAAGUCCCGCAACGAGCGCAACCCUUGUGUCCUGUUGCCACCCAAACGAGAGUUUGGAGCACUCUGGACAGACUGCCUCGCUUAAACGAGGAGGAAGGUGGGGAUGACGUCAAGUCAGGAUGGCCCUUACGGCCAGGGCUGCACACGUACUACAAUGCCUGGUACAAAGGGACGCAAGACCGCAAGGUGGAGCAAAUCCCAAAAAACCAGGCUCAGUUCAGAUUGUCGGCUGCAACUCGCCGACAUGAAGCUGGAAUCGCUAGUAAUGGCGCAUCAGCUACGGCGCCGUGAAUACGUUCCCAGGCCUUGUACACACCGCCCGU